AGAGUUUGAUCAUGGCUCAGAUUGAACGCUGGCGGCAGGCCUAACACAUGCAAGUCGAACGGUAACAGGAAGCAGCUUGCUGCUUUGCUGACGAGUGGCGGACGGGUGAGUAAUGUCUGGGAAACUGCCUGAUGGAGGGGGAUAACUACUGGAAACGGUAGCUAAUACCGCAUAACGUCGCAAGACCAAAGAGGGGGACCUUCGGGCCUCUUGCCAUCGGAUGUGCCCAGAUGGGAUUAGCUAGUAGGUGGGGUAAAGGCUCACCUAGGCGACGAUCCCUAGCUGGUCUGAGAGGAUGACCAGCCACACUGGAACUGAGACACGGUCCAGACUCCUACGGGAGGCAGCAGUGGGGAAUAUUGCACAAUGGGCGCAAGCCUGAUGCAGCCAUGCCGCGUGUAUGAAGAAGGCCUUCGGGUUGUAAAGUACUUUCAGCGGGGAGGAAGGGAGUAAAGUUAAUACCUUUGCUCAUUGACUUUACCCGCAGAAGAAGCACCGGCUAACUCCGUGCCAGCAGCCGCGGUAAUACGGAGGGUGCAGGCGUUAAUCGGAAUUACUGGGCGUAAAGCGCACGCAGGCGGUUUGUUAAGUCAGAUGUGAAAUCCCCCGGGCUCAACCUGGCAACUGCAUCUGAUACUGGCAAGCUUUGAGUCUCGUAGAGGGGGGGGUAAAUUCCCAGGUGUAGCGGUGAAAUGCGUAAAGAUCUGGAAGAAUAGCGGGGGGUAAAGGCGGUCCCCGGACGAAUACCACCCUCA
rnacentral:rRNA from 1 species